UAUAAAUUAAAAGCGCCAGGACUUAAAAUGUAGAUAUUUUAAGUUGACGAGGAUGGGGAGUAUCGAAAUGUUCGGCGGAUGCCCCACGGUAUAACACUACCGUUAAAGAUUGAUAAAACUGAAAAGUGAUUUUUGGAACAAUAUCAAUUAGGUGUUAAUA
rnacentral:ncRNA from 2 species